UGGGGAAUAUUGCACAAUGGGCGCAAGCCUGAUGCAGCCAUGCCGCGUGUAUGAAGAAGGCCUUCGGGUUGUAAAGUACUUUCAGCGAGGAGGAAGGCGUUGUGGUUAAUAACCGCAACGAUUGACGUUACUCGCAGAAGAAGCACCGGCUAACUCCGUGCCAGCAGCCGCGGUAAUACGGAGGGUGCAAGCGUUAAUCGGAAUUACUGGGCGUAAAGCGCACGCAGGCGGUCUGUCAAGUCGGAUGUGAAAUCCCCGUGCUCAGCCUGGGAACUGCAUCCGAAACUGGCAGGCUAGAGUCUUGUAGAGGGGGGUAGAAUUCCAGGUGUAGCGGUGAAAUGCGUAGAGAUCUGGAGGAAUACCGGUGGCGAAGGCGGCCCCUUGGACAAAGACUGACGCUCAGGUG
rnacentral:rRNA from 1 species